AUUUCUCCCACUCAAAUUAGGAAAGGGUCUUCCAAAUCAUUUAGGAUUUUAGAUCAUAAAUCUAAUAUAAUGGUACAUAAUGGACUUGUUUAAGAGGAAGAUUUUCCAAAAAGAGUUACGGUUUUUAAGAGUUUUUGGAGGUUUUAAAAACUUUCAAAACCCUAAAUUUCUCAACCAAAUCGAAGUGUUGGAAGGUUUUCAUAAAUUAUAUAUUAUGUAUGACCUAUAUUGCCCUCAGUUUCUCACUCGUUUAAGCCUUAAUCUGUUCUUUUUUGCUUCAAAAUUAAUUAAAUCAUUGUUUCAAAUUUACCACUAACCAGAAAGGAAUAUAUAUAUAUAGUUCAAGAGAACA
rnacentral:misc_RNA from 1 species